UGAGUAACACGUAUCCAACCUUCCCUAACUAACUCAGGGAGUACGCCUUUUACGAAGAAAGAUUUAAUACCUGAUAGUACUUUUUCUAAGGCAUCUUGAGAAGUUUAAAGAUUUAUUUGGUUAUGGAUGGGGAUGCGUUCCAUUAGAUAGUUGGUGAGGUAACGGCUCACCAAGUCUUCGAUGGAUAGGGGUUCGUGAGAGGAAGGUCCCCACCAUUGGUACUGAGACACGGACCAAACUCCUACGGGAGGCAGCAGUGAGGAAUAUUGGUCAAUGGGCGAGGAGCCUGAACCAGCCAAGUAGCGUGAAGGAAUGAAGGUCCUAUGGAUUGUAAACUUCUUUUAUAGUAGAAUAAAGUGAUCCACGUGUGGAUUUUGUAUGUAUACUAUGAAUAAGGAUCGGCUAACUCCGUGCCAGCCGCCGC
rnacentral:rRNA from 1 species